rnacentral:rRNA from 1 species
CCUACGGGAGGCAGCAGUGGGGAAUUUUCCGCAAUGGGCGAAAGCCUGACGGAGCAACGCCGCGUGAGGGAUGAAGGCCUCUGGGCUGUAAACCUCUUUUAUCAAGGAAGAAGAUCUGACGGUACUUGAUGAAUAAGCCACGGCUAAUUCCGUGCCAGCAGCCGCGGUAAUACGGGAGUGGCAAGCGUUAUCCGGAAUUAUUGGGCGUAAAGCGUCCGCAGGCGGUCUUGUAAGUCUGUCGUUAAAGCGUGGAGCUUAACUCCAUUUCGGCGGUGGAAACUACAAGACUAGAGUGUGGUAGGGGCGGAGGGAAUUCCCGGUGUAGCGGUGAAAUGCGUAGAUAUCGGGAAGAACACCAGUGGCGAAGGCGCUCUGCUGGGCCAUAACUGACGCUCAUGGACGAAAGCUAGGGGAGCGAAAGGGAUUAGAUACCCCUGUAGUCCUAGCCGUAAACGAUGAACACUAGGUGUCGGGGAAUCGACCCCCUCGGUGUCGUAGCUAACGCGUUAAGUGUUCCGCCUGGGGAGUACGCACGCAAGUGUGAAACUCAAAGGAAUUGACGG